UACGUAGGGUGCGAGCGUUAAUCGGAAUUACUGGGCGUAAAGCGUGCGCAGGCGGCGCGUUAAGACAGGUGUGAAAGCCCCGAGCUUAACUUGGGAAUUGCGCUUGUGACUGGCGUGCUGGAGUGUGGCAGAGGGAGGUGGAAUUCCACGUGUAGCAGUGAAAUGCGUAGAGAUGUGGAGGAACACCGAUGGCGAAGGAAGCCUCCUGGGCCAGCACUGACGCUCAUGCACGAAAGCGUGGGGAGCAAACAGG
rnacentral:rRNA from 1 species